CAGAACCAAUUUAUGGAGAAGGAAAGGAUGCAGGAGAUGAGGCAGGUUACGUGGUAGGGAUGUCCACCUGUUAUCCUGAACCAGGCUCUAUCCAGAUAACAGCUGGGGAGAAUCUAGUUCUUGAAUCUUACUACAGCAGUACUCAAAAGCACACGGGAGUUAUGGGGAUUUUCUACAUUUUGGUUGCUGAGCGAACACCAAAUCCCACGAAUUUCUUGCAUUCUCCGAUUCAUGUAAGUUCUAGUUCGAUUUUUAAAGGUUACCGUUAGUAUUUUAUGAAGCUUGAAUGUUUCUCGGUUCUUGCAGACACAUGAAAAGAUGAAAGUAUCCUCAUCUGCUUUAGCAAUAGUAGCUCUGUUAGGACUGGCAGUAGUUGCUGUUGGCCUGCGUUAUCGACUGAAGAAGGGGAGAGAAGAAGGCUAUCAACCAAUAAUGGCAUAGAGCUGUAAUCCUGUUAAUUUCCAUGAUCUUUGUAAUGCAUCUAUAUAUAUAUAUAUAUAUAUAUAUGAAACAUGCCUUGUUUGCUCUAUAAAUGGAUGCAAAAAUGUCCAACUACAUAUAGCAACCAUACCAAUGGAACUCAUACUCUUCUCUAGUGGAGCCACAGAGAUCCAUACAUCAAUAAUUUGUCUGAGUAAUUGGAAAUUAUUCCUACUGCCAUAGCUUCCAAGCACUCUUGUUAGGCUUUCAGCUAUCAAGUCUGAAAAGCAUUGAAAUUUUGAGCCAUCUGAUCCAUUUAACAAAUAACAAAAAGCACGUGUUUACGAAGACGGACUUUAAAAGCUGAAAACUGUACAUGAAGAGGCCUUGCAUGUACACAGAGGAAUGCAAUCUAUCGUAAAGAGAAAAGAAAGAAAAAAGAAACAGAUGAAUGCAAUCAUAGUCCAGGUUCAGUUCGUUUACAGAAAACCAUUUUUACAGGUUCUAUCUUGCACUAGCAUUAAACGUUAACCCAAAUCUGGCCAGCAGGUCGACUCACCCCUACCUCUGGUUGGGUGUUAAAAAAAUCAAUUUUAAAUUGAUUUGAUGUAACCUGGUUAACAUGAUAGUAAACCCCAAUCAGACUUUUAUUUUCUGAAAAAAUUAUUCAUGUAAGUCAAUAUAUUGAAUUCAUGACUCGAAUUUUAUUUGGAUCGACUUGAAUUAAAUUUAAGGCCUGUUUAAAAUUGUUGUGGCGGUGACGGUUCAAAGUAUUUUUCAUUUAUAGAUAUAUCAAAAUGAAGUUUUUUUAUUUUUUUUUAAUUAUUUUUAACAUCAACAAAUCAAAAUGAUCUGAAAAUAAUUUUUUUAAAAAAAUUAUUUUAAACAAAUAAAAAUUAAAAUUUUUAAAAAUACAGUUUACAUCGUUCUCAUCUUAUUGUAUUUAAUCCCGUUUGUUUUUGUAAUUCAAUGAGCGCCUAAAUACAAAUGGAAAGAACUAGAACAUCUAAAAGAUCCGACUUUUAAAAUGGAGCUUCAGUGAUCAUAUGAGGAGUGAUGUUCAUGUUGUGAACAGUGAAACUCCUAAGUUUUCUCUUUCGCCCUUUUAAACUUAUUUUUGUUCAAUUUAGUUCAUUCUAGUUUAAUUUGAUGAAAUUAACCAGUUUGAAAUUAUAAUAGAUCUAUACAAUUAUAAGAUAAAUAAUUGAAAUAUAAGACACGAAGAUAAUAUAUGUCUAAUUUAAAACUUUGCAAUUUUUAUUUUGUUUUUAGAGUUAUUUUUUUAAUUUUUUCGAUUAUCAAAAAGAGAGAGUGACUCGUUAAAAAAUAAAAAUAGAGAAAAAAUGUAUUUAACUAUCACGAUUUUUACAACCACGAUGAUAGUGGUUAUUUUUAGUUCUUGUCAUGCAAAAAAUAAAAUAAAAAAAGAUUUGUAAUCUCAGCUUGAUAUUUGUGUUCUAACCUAUUUUUUGCUGCUUUUAAGAAAAUAGAGGAGUUUAUAAGAUUUGUUAAAUGUUUGCCAUCUGUUUUCAUGUAAAUUAGUUGAAAUAGGUUGAUUGGUUAAAAAAAUCAAGAUUGAUUUGCUGCUUAGUUUUUAACCACUUUGACUGCUGAAAACUAGACAUGUCAUUCGCUUUUUUAUUAAAAGGAAAAAUAAAGGAAGGUCGGGUGCAUGAGCCUUCACUGCUACCGGGAGCAAUACUAGUCUUGACUCCUGACCCUUUAAUGUAUUUUUUUUCCUUGUUUUUUCUGGCACUAAAAAAACUACUUUUCUAUUUCACUUACUCUUUACAUGUUAUUAAAUAAUAUUAUAAAAUCUUAUUUUUAUUUUAAUAAAUAUUCUUCAAUUGCUAUGUAUAUGAUAAUGAAAAUAAUAAUAAUAAUAAUAAUAAUAAUUUUUUGGCUCAUGAAAAUUUAAUUCAAAUCAUUUUUUAAAUAAAUUUUAAACAUGAUUUUACAUUUUUAAAAAAUUACACGACAUAUUUUUAUAUCUUCCAAUUCAAUAUUUGAUUUAGAUCAUCAUAUUUGUUUUUUUUUUGGAGGGCAGGGAUUCACCCUCCGUGUAAUUACGUGCAAAUCCGUUCCUCUAAUUAAAACCCCAAAAGGCGCAAAUAAGGGCAUGUUAAUUUUUAAGGAGGGGAAAAAUCCUACAAGUGCGGAGUAGGGAUUUAUAAUUCUUUUAAAAAUAUAAUUGAAGUUAUUUUUUAAAAUAUUUUUAUUUAAAAAUAUAUUAAAAUAAUAUUUUUUUUAUUUUUUAAAAAUUAUUUUUAAUAUAACCACAUUAAAAUAAUCUAAAAAUACCAAAAUAAUAUUAAUUUAAAAAAAUAAAAAAUAAUUUUUUUUAAAAAAAAAUAUUUUAAAAUAUAAAAAUACACAGGCUUAAACCCAUGAAAGUGCGAGGGAUGGGACCAACAUAAAAUUCCUAAUCUUAGAUCUAGGGCAUGCAAAGCAGGCAAAUAAAACUCUUUUGAGCUGCACAAAAAAAGAGACUACGACAGGUAGAUAAAGGGUUCAAGCUUUGCAAGCAGCAUCAUUUCCAACUCCAGCUCUUUGAAGCUGGACCACCAUGCGAUGCGAGUACCCAUUUGCCAUGAGAAUAUAUUAGUUAAGAUCCAUUCCCAAAGAAACAUGUCUUUUGAGGAAUGGCUCUUGACUGUGAAACUUGGUUUUUUUAAGUGGCUUGGUUGGGCUUACAAUAGCGCUCCCUGGGCGGCUAAUUGCACACUCUGUUUUUAUUUGUAUUUGUAUGCUGAGGCUUUCUGGAUUUGAUUUUCGGAUGGCUUUUUGCGGAAUGGCUCUUGACUGUGAAGCUUUGUUUAUUAGGUGGCUUGGCUUGGCUUGGCUUGGCUUAAGAGGGUCUUUAUAGUUCUUCUUUAAAUGACUGGUCUGCUUGCAUUUCUCUGUGUUGGCACGCUUUCUUUUUCAGGAAUUAAGGUCCUGACAUGCAUUGGGAUGUCUCAGUUGAAGAGAAUAGGUUGGUUUCAGCAUGCUAAUGAAAGGAGAGAUGGAGUGCGGUUUUAAGCUGUUUUAGCUGCAGGCAUUCAAUGCACGUUAAGGCUGGCAUGUUGCUGCCAAGGUGCUGUACUGUUUUUUCUUGGGCGGGAAAUAUAGAGACAAAGUGAGAGAACUGAUUUGUUAAAAUCGUUUUCAAAAAAAAAAGGUCAUAAUGCUUUGAGCCCUGCUUUUGGGUGUACUGGCUCAUCACUUUUCUCGGGUGUUCUGCUAGGAUAGAGGUGAGUUUUUUGAGAUCAUUCUAUCCUCUUCCUGAGCUUUGGUUUUCAAUCAAUUUGGGUUUGAAAGUUUUAAACUUGGUACAGAGAGGGUUGUUUACACAUCUCAAUGCUUAUUUCCAGCCUUUUCCUUUUAAAUUAUGGUCAAUCACAUGUGAAAGCCAAAUUUGUUCAUUGUCCUUCUACUGCACUUUUAACAUUUAGCUCCUUUUAGUUAUCUUUAAUUUUUUAAUAAUGCAUGUUGCUUUUUCCUUUGUGAUCCUUCUCUGCAUUUUGAUUCCUUUUGACUAUUGACUUUGCUUUCCGCUUUCAAGGUAAGUUUGAAAAAUAACUUUUCCUAUUUUCUUUUAAGAGGCUAUGUUUUGAUACUCAAAUCCAAAGGAUUUUACAUGUUUUUAGUCAAAUGGGUUGAGUUGUCUUUGCUUUUGUUGAACGAUCAUUUGUAGCAUUGUCAUUGCCCAUUUUUUUGUUAGUAUCGUAGUUAAAGUUUAGUUUGUGCUGUUCCCUGCUAAAAAGUCCUUCUUGGACUGGUGUAAUAGGUUGUUUGAGGUGAGACAUUUGAGGUUGAUUGAUGCUUGAGAUACGGGAAAAACAGUCUGUUUGUGGUUUUUUCAUCUGGAUUUUAGGUGCUAAUUAGGCUGAUAAGUUGAUUUAUGCAUCUGAAAAUGUUUCUUUUACAGGUUGCUUUAUCCUUCAUAGGCCUUCUUAGAAUCUUUAAUCGUGUAGGCUAUUGGCUUUGCUAUCCACUUUCAAGGUAUGUUUGACAGGGUAUUUUCAUGUCUUCUUUUUUUAUUAGGCAUUGUUCUGGUUCUUAGUUGUUUUGUUCAUUCUUUCAAGCUAUUUCCUAUUAAAUUUGUUUAAAUAUCGUUGUUGUUGUAGAAGGAGCUUAAGUUGAAUUAGUCAAUGCUCAUUCUUUGUUUGCAUGUUAGCUUAAGAUUGGGGUGUUGUUCUGCUUUGCUGGAAAAUAUAUGCUUGGUGAUAUGUAUUUUUUAAAAAGGAGCUGUUUGAACUCAUGUUAGAGGUUAUUUUAAGAGAUAUAUUCUGGAAUGAAAGAUACUUAAGAAUAAGAAAUAACAGUAUGUUGAAGAUUUUUUCAUUUGGGUGUUAGCUGCUAGGCUGACUGAUGAAAUGAUUCAGACAAUCAAGGUUAUUAUUUCUACACUUAAAAAAAGGGAAUUAGAUUGUUUAUUGGUUUGACAUGGUCAUUUAAGGUGCUGCAUGUCGAAUUAAGAAUUUGUGACAUGAUGUGAAUUGUUUCUCCAGCUUGGAUCCAUGUAGAAGUUGCAUAGAGUCGGGGAGUUUGUUCCUGGGUCAUCGCCUCCUUUCUGCAAAAAACAAAUCAUAGAUUUUCACUAUAGUUUUGUUGAGGAAAUCACAACAGAUAGUACAGACCUAUUACAGCCGUUAGUUUCAUUUCCUUUCUUUUCGAUUGAUAAAAUCGUUGCUUUUGCCUCCAUUUCAGUACCUGUUAAGGAACCAUUGGUGGUCUCUCAACAUCAUAUAGAAACUUAGGUUGUUGUUCCAUCUUACACAGUAAAGGGCAUGACAGUUUGAGUUAUUUGUAGCUCUUUUAAUUCCUUUUUUGUCACCUGCUUUGCUGCAUUUUACCCUUACAAUUGUUGAAGGUGUGGCUGGCACACAUUGCACUCCCUUCCCCUGUUUUUUUAUGCCAGCAGCAAUUUUUUUGGCGAUAAAAUCUCCCAUCUUUUCUAGGACCAUUAAACAUUUUCAUGCUUCAUUUUCCUUGCUCUCUUUAGUUUGUUUAGGUUGCUGCUAUUUUGACAGCUUUACGUAUAUGUUAUUUGGCUCUAGCUAUUCGUGCAUGACAGUCAAAUGUUGUCUGUAAUUUCUACCUGAGAAUGGAACAUUGCUAUCACAAACCCUCAAGUGCAAUUUAUAAUGUUUUGAUAUCCCCAUAUUGCUACAAGAGAUGAGAAAGCUGGUCUGCAGGCUCACUCGCUCAGGUCUGCAGAACCGCACCUUGAGUCUCUUUUGACCUACGCCUGGAGUUUACAGACCUUGCAGAGAUUAAAAAUGAAAAAAACAAUUAAUAACAUUUAUUAUUAUUGUUGUUAAUAAUUUUUUAAAAAAUAUUAUUAUCAUUAAUAAUUUUUUAAAAAAAUAUUAUUACUAUAAAAACUUGGACCAGAAAAAUUUAGUAUUAUUAUUAAUAUGAUAAAUAUUAUUAUUUGUAUUCUAAAUAUUAUUAUUUUUAUUAUAAUUAAUAUAAUAAUUAAUAAAUUUGUAAAAAAAUAUUAUUAAUAUUGAAAAACAAUAAUAGAUUUGAUUUGAAAGGUAAAAUUAAAAGUUAUUAUUAUUGUUAUUGUUAUUGUUAUUGUUAUUAUCAUUAGUACAUUUUUUUAAAAAAAGUUAUUAUUACCAUCAAAGAAAAACAAUAAAUUUUGUUUUAAGAGAUUAAAAAAUAUAAGAAUUUCGGCAAACAAGUUAAAUAUUAUUAUUAAAAUUAAAAUAAUUUUUUUUACUAUUGAAAAAAAUAUAGAUUUGAUUUUAAGGGUAAAAUAAUUUUAUUAUUAUUAUUAUUAUUAUUAUUAACUUGGAAUAGACAUCCUCUUCUAGAUCCAAGAAAAUUAGGGUCGGAAAGGGAUGUCUAACCCAAGUUACUUGGGUCCUACAACCCUGCCUGAUCUUGAUUAGGGGUUGCAAUUGUCAUACACUCUGGCAUCUAAACUGAUGCCAGAUCUGGAAUAACGUUUAUGGUUUAUCAAUUGUUUUUUUGAUAACGAAAAUUAAGAAUAAGAUUGCUAGUCAAGUAGGUGAUACAAUUUUCUGAAUCAUACAAUAGGUAGUAAUCCCCUGUAGGAUUUGGGGCUCAUAGUUUUGUCACUGGGGCUUAACAAUUGGUUGAGGUUAUGCUAGAGGACCGGGGGUUCAGCUAUUUACUACACAGCUAUUUACUACAGAUUUUGAAGCAUGAUAUUAACUGAAUUAAUUUUGUUUAAUUUUAUCCUGAUUAAUUUUUUAUCUAGGGUUUGGAUGACAAAAAAUGGGUCGUUUUCUCUUCUUUUUUUUGGUGAUUUCAGCCAAGUUCGAAGGCUGCAUUUUUUAGAUUCUUACAUGUCCUGGAAGAUAGACUUGACCUCUAUAAUUAAUUGGAGUCAUGUUGCAAUCAUUUGUUAGCCUAAGUUAAAUUGUUUUCUAAGUAGUUUGGUGGCUUCUAGAUGUCUGCUGUAUUUAUUCGAGGGAAAUAUGUGGCAGCAAUCUUUAUUCGAGGGAAAUAUGUGGCAGCAAUCAAGAAGCUUUACGUGUGGAUUUUCUUUUGAAGAUUGUAGUUGCUAUAUGGUAUGUUUGUAGGGCAUGAAGUGCUUAAGAAUGGGGAUAUAAGUUAGGAAAUGUUGUAUGUGUUUGCUUAAAACUUGCAAAGGCAGAACCAUUGUGCUUCUUUGGAGUGGAAAGAUGUCUUUGGUGGUACUUUGCUUAAUUUUUGUAUGAGUUUGCCUGAAAUUUGUUGGAAGCUUAAUCAAAUAAUAACUGUUUUUUAUUGUGUUUUCCAACACACACACACUAUCUAACCUUUAUGAUUUGUGUUUUCAAAUAAGCAUGAACUAAAAAGCAUAAAAACUCGACAUUCGGCUACUCUUAUAAUCCACAUAACAUGAAGGGGAAGUUGGCAGACACGUACCGAAAUCAUUGUUGAGCCAACACUUCCUCAAAGAUCAGCUAACGGUGAGUUGAUGAAUUUCACCUAUAAAAAUCUGUUAAGGACGCACGUUUUGGAUUUUGAAAGUAGAAAAACAGUAUAUCAGUGCUUUGAAAUGACACUUGAUGAUUGGGUGCAAUCUAAAAAAAAACAUAGAAUACAUAAUGUUAUAAAUUUUCAUCAUUAAAGAUAUUUAGAUGUAUUCUACCUAUAUAUCCCUCAAGAUUAUAGAAAAAUAAUUAAAGAAAUGGUGUCAUUUAUCCAUGAUUUACAUGGAUAUAGUGUGGAUGUUGCACAAAAGUAUUCAAUAAAAGUAAUAUUGUGUUUCUUAAUGGUGAUGUAAAGUUCUGGAAGAUUGAUUUUCAACUUGCGGCUACUAAAAAAGCAAAUGACAUAGAUUACCGGUUUUUGAGGAGACCUAUUUUUGAACUUUUGGAUGGUGAAACUACAUAAUUGCAAAAUUUAUUGUUGACAUGUCUUGUUUUCCUCUCGAGGAUCAUGGAUUUUUCAAGAAUUUUAUUCGUGAGAGUUUUGAGAACAACAAUCUAGCACUCUAGCUAUCACCUAUCAUAUUUUUUCAAAUCCCUGCUUCUUUUCUCAAGGCAUGACAAUAGGUGAUCUUCAUAACCCAACAUAAGUUGUUAUCACAACAAAAACUAGAAAUCCAAACUUGAAUUUAAUUGGUGAUCUGUGUGAAAAAUAGAUUUAUCUAGAAAGAAUAUUUAGAAAUAUUUCUCCUCAAAUAACAACGAUAUGUAAGAUAGCUUGCAAGUUGCAAUGUCAUUCAAGUUAUGAAUAUUGCUUCCAUUAAUUUUUUUUUACACUACUUUGCAUGAAUUCAAAGUAGAUAUUACUAAAGUUCAAAGAAUUAUCUCUCGAGAUAGAAGAAUAGAUUUGUAAAAAAUUUAAACCUAGUGCUAGAAUUUCUUGUCCAAAACUGUAAAGGGAUGUGUAAUACUCAGCAUAUCUAGCUGGUAAUCAUGUCUUUAAGUGUCCUAGCAAACUUUUUAAGAAUACUAUAAAAACGAAUAAGAGAUUCAAGGAACUCGUAAUGAAAAAAAUGAUAUGUAUCCUCACUUAUAUGUAAGAUACAAUUAUUGUUGUUAUAGGAUUCUCUUGUAAACAAAAUACAAGUAAUAUUCGAGAUUCCCCAACACUCUAUAUUUGUGAGAAAUUGGUGGUGGAAGAUGCAAUGGUUUGAAUUUAUGAUCUUGAAACGCCUCAUCAAGUGAUUAGAAAAUAUUUUUGAUCAGGUUUGAGAACAAGUAUUCGAGUUAUACAACAUCCUAAUAGAAACACUCUUUAGAAUUAGUCGCAUGCAAUUCUCUUUCUAUAGAGAUGAGAGAAGUUCAAUCAUAUUGAUUUUCAUGACGUAUAUGAAGAUAUAGUAAAGUCUGUGUAUAUUUUUUUAUGCAUGCAAUUGCAAUCUUAAUUAUGGUGAAAUAAGAGAUAUGAGGUUUAAAAUUUAUUUUAUAGUAAGGUCAAACAAACCAUUAAACAUAAAAAGGGCUAAUUAGUUUAUUAGUAACUAAGGGUGUUUGGUGCAUGUUAUGGUCUCUCUUAUUUUCCCACUCAACUUCUCUGGUGUUAUUUUUAUAAUCAAAUUCAUUUUAAUAAAACAUUACUUUCAAUUCUAGAUCAUGUUAGUUUUUAAUUUUAUUUUUAUAAUGCAGAACAUUGAUCUUUGAUGUUAUCUUGUUAGAUAAAUAUCAUUUCAAGCUACUAUGUAACUCUGUUCUUGCUAUUUCAUUAUUUUUCUCUACAACAUCGUUCAAUUUCAGUUUUGGGAUACUUGCUUCAUCAUUAGAUAAUUGCAAUAAGUACAGUUUCUCAAUGUAUUGCAUGGAACAUGAAAUUAAAGCCUAUGUCUUUUGUGUAAUGACCUAUAAUAAACUUGUCACAAGCAUUUUUUGUUGCAUGUAGCACAUUGAGAAACUAUACUUACUGCAAUUAUCUAAUGAUUAGGCAAGUGUCCAAAAACUGAAAUUGGAUGAUGUUGUAGAGCAAAAAAAUAAAAUAGCAGGAGCAAAGUUGAAGGGCAGCUUGAAAUGAUAUUUGUCUAACAAGGUAACGCAAAUGAUCAUUGUUCCGCAUUAUAAAAAUAAAAUUGAAAUCUAACAUAAUCUAGAAUUGAAGGUAAUGUUUUAUUAAAAUGAAUUUAACUACAAAAAUAACAUAAGAGAAGUUGAGUGGGAAAAUGAGAGAUUACAACAUGCACCAAACACUUUUAAAAUGAAUUUUAAACUCCAUUUCUCUCAUUUUACCAUAAUUAAGAUUGCAAUUGCAUGCAUAAAAAAUAUAUGCAAGUUUUACCAUACCUUCAUAUACGUCAUGAAAAUCAUUGAAGUGUAUGAUUCCAAAAAGUGUAUAUUAUGUUGUUAUAUAACUCAAAUAUUUGUUUUCAAACCUGGUUGAAAACAUUUUCUAAUCACUUGAUGAGUUACUUCAAAAUCAUAAAUUUGAACCCUUGCACCUUCCAUCAAUUUCUCACAAAUGUAGAGUGCUGGGGAAUCUCGGAUAUUACUUGUAUUCAACUUACAAGAGAAUCCCAUAAAAACCAUGGUUGUAUCUUGCAAAUAAGUGAGGCUGCUUAUCAUUUUUCACUAUGAGUUCCUUGAAUCUCUUAUUUGUCUCUAUGAAAUUCUUAAAAAGUUUUCUAUGACACUCAAAGACACUAUUACCGACUAGAUAUGUUGAGUAUUGUAGAUCCCUUUACAGUUCUUGAUCAAAAUUUCAGCACUAUGUUUAAUUUUUGUACGAUCUAUUCUUCUAUCUCGAGAGAUAAUUCUUUCAACUUCAGUAAUAUUUGUUUCAAACUCAUCGCAAACUAGGUUAAAAAAAAUUAAUGAAAAUAAUAUUCAUAACUUGAAUGACAUUGCAAGAUAUCUUAUUGAUCAUUGCUGUUAGAGGAGAAAUAUUUCUGAAUAUUAUACCUAGAUGAACCUAUUUUUCAUACAGCUCAACAAUUAGAUUCGAGUUUGGAUUUCUAGUUCUUGCUGCGAUAAUAACUUGUGUUGGGUUGUGAAGAUUAACUAUUUUUGUUCUCGGAGAAAAGAAACAGUGGUUUGAAAAAAUGUGAAGGGUGGUAGCUAGGUCAUUGUUCUCAAAACUCUCACGAAUAAAAUUCUUGAAAAAUCCAUGAUCCUCGAGAGGAAAACAUGACAUAUCAACAAUAAAUUUUGCUUUGGUUACCCUAUUGAGAAUCAUUCUCAUUACCGCAUUCCAUUUAGCAAAGUCUAAUUAUCCUCCCAUUUCUCUUUGUUUGUAUAUUAGGAGCGACAAAUAUAAUUCUUGUUUGGUUUAUUUCUUCUCCUAUGUAAUUGUUGAAACACAUAUUUACAUUCCUGGCAAGUGUUUAGAAAGUCCAAGAUAACAUGAGUUUGACAAACAUGUCCUCUAUGCUUGUAGGUGUUUAGAAAGUGUGUGUAAGAUAUCACUUGGCAAUGAUUUAGUUUAACCAUCCAAAAGUUCAAAAACAAGUCUCUCCAAAAACCAAAAAUCUGUGUCCUUUGCUUCCCUAAUAGCCGCAGGUUGAAAAUCAAUCUUCCAGAACUUUACAUCACCAUUAAGAGACAUAAUGUUACUUUUAUCGAAUACUUUUAGGCAACAUCCACUAUAUCUAUGUAAAUCAUGGAUAAAUGACACCAUUCCUUUAAUUAUUUUUCUAUAAUCUUGAGGGAUAUACAAGUAGAAUACAUCUAGAUAUCUUUAAGCUUGUGUGCUCACUUCAGGAAGGAUGUGUUAUAUGUACUUCAGAACCCAUUUAUGAAGAAGGAAAGGAUGCAGGAGAUGAGGCAGGUUACGUAGUAGGGAUGUCCACCUGUUAUCCUGAACCAGGCUCUAUCCAGAUAACAGCUGGGGAGAAUCUAGUUCUUGAAUCUUACUACAGCAGCACUCAAAAGCACACGGGAGUUAUAGGGAUUUUCUACAUUUUGGUUGCUGAGCGAACACCAAAUCCCAC
rnacentral:lncRNA from 1 species